GUGGGGAAUAUUGGACAAUGGGCGAAAGCCUGAUCCAGCCAUGCCGCGUGUGUGAAGAAGGUCUUCGGAUUGUAAAGCACUUUAAGUUGGGAGGAAGGGCAGUAAGUUAAUACCUUGCUGUUUUGACGUUACCGACAGAAUAAGCACCGGCUAACUUCGUGCCAGCAGCCGCGGUAAUACGAAGGGUGCAAGCGUUAAUCGGAAUUACUGGGCGUAAAGCGCGCGUAUGUGGUGUUGUAAGUUGGAGGUGAAAUCCCCGGGCUCAACCUGAGAACUGCCUCAAAAACUGCAUGACUAGAGUGCGGUAGAGGAGAGUGGAAUUUCCUGUGUAGCGGUGAAAUGCGUAGAUAUAGGGAGGAACACCAGUGGCGAAGGCGACUACCUGGACUGAUACUGACACUGAGGUGCGAAAGCGUGGGGAGCAAACAGGAUUAGAUACCCUAGUAGUCC
rnacentral:rRNA from 1 species